UACAGAGGGGGCAAGCGUUGUUCGGAAUUACUGGGCGUAAAGGGCGCGUAGGCGGCCUGCUAAGUCGAACGUGAAAUCCCUGGGCUCAACCCAGGAACUGCGUCCGAUACUGGUUGGCUUGAAUCCGGGAGAGGGAUGUGGAAUUCCAGGUGUAGCGGUGAAAUGCGUAGAUAUCUGGAGGAAUACCGGUGGCGAAGGCGGCAUCCUGGACCAAUUCUGACGCUGAGGAGCGAAAGCCAGGGGAGCAAACGGG
rnacentral:rRNA from 1 species